CUAAUAUAUUGUGAACACAAUAGACAGUGUGGGCUCUGUAAGAUGAAUGUUUUUCUGCAUGCAAGCUGCAACUAAAAGGGCUAUUUUUCCCUUUCAUUAAUCUAGAAUAAAUAAUGGUUAUAAUAUUACAUAACUCUUGCCUUAUCUCUGGCAGUUUCUUCGUGCUGAAAUAGGAGAUUGCUGCAGUAUGCAGCACAGCUUCUCAGUGUGCUCUGUAUGAGAGACAGAAAGGGAGUCAUUCAUGCUGGAAAAUAUCUGGCAAAAUUUCAAAGUUGCUUCCCCUUUAAUAAUUCUUAAACAUGGCUAUGAUGUGUUCCUGAAAUUUUAAAUACAGUUAGAUGUACAUUUCUGUUCACUGUUAGUGAAUUAUCCUCCCACCCCACCCCCCUCCCCCCCCCCCCCCCCCCCCCCCCCCCCCCCCCCCGUAUAGCUUCCGGUGGUUCAAGACUAGUGUGAUUCUAAACGGAAGUACAGCAAAAUCUAGUUAUCAUUUCUGGAAUCUACAAAAUCCUUAGGCUGAGCAGACUUUUGUGACACAUGACUUAUGAAGCGCAAUGCAAUACACAGAACAGGAGCAACUUACCUCUGAUAGACCUGACAUGACAGGCAAGCUCUGAAGCUUUACAGAUAUUGGGAUUCAUCACAGCUGAAAAAGGACAUGCAAAUCUGAAGAUGUAAUGCAUCUAGAAAGGAAGAACACUCCUCUACAAUGUAUUUUGUCAUUGAUUCCAGAGUAUCUUCUGGUUUUGAAACUGAAGAUAAGCCUUCAAAGUUGAGUUUCCUAUUGCAAAUGGACUUUAUGCUCAGCAACCACUGGGUUACAUUUUCUUUGCCUCACCCUUCAAGGCUUGUCACACCUGAAUUGUGGAAUUAUGCAGGCCAGCUGGCAGCCCAGUCCAACACAAUGUGUGUGCCAUGCAAAGUGUUUGUUGUAACAAACCUCUGAGGUUUUGAAGGAUCCUCUUCAAGGAAUGAAGAACUGCAAAUCUUCAUAUCCCUGCCUUCCUCCAAGGAACACCCUGCUCCUUCCCUAAGAGUAGGUGAAGUGUCUCAGGUCAGGGAAGCAGUGGAAGCAUUGCAGCAAAACUGCUCAUCACCCACCGCCACUUCCUUCAGCUCUCAAAAGUGCUGCUGACUUCUCCUGAGAUGCCUGGCUGUAACAGCUGAAGGCGUAUCUCAGCCCAAGGCAGCAGCACCUCUAUGACAACAGGUAGCUUUUAGCUCCAGAUACAGCUUCUUCAGUGUUUGGGAAAGUAAAGCAGGAACUUAAUAAGGGAGCUCACAAAUGGCAUCUUUUUGUGACGGUCCAAGCCAAAAUUCUGUCUAGCAAAGCCACUGAUGUCUUUAUGUGCUUAAUAAAGUCUGUUUUAGAUCCAGUUUCUGUAACUCAAACCAUCUCCAAUUAAUCUAAACAAAUAAUCCCAGGCACAGAUCUAACUAGCUGAUUUCUGCUAUUCUUCAACACUAAUGUUCAGACACACUACUGAGAGUGAUGGGUCAACAGGAACAACAGGAAGCAACUGUGCUUUAAAAUUCCUUCUCCUGAUACCACAGGGACAAUAUAAUUUUGUUCCUCCAAAAAAAAAAAAAAAAAAAAAAAAAGAAAAUUUGUAUAUAUUAAUUCUACAGAAAUGUUCUUGUGCCUACAUAAAACCUGG
ensembl:lncRNA